rnacentral:rRNA from 1 species
GACGAACGCUGGCGGCGUGCCUAAUACAUGCAAGUCGAGCGGACUGAAUGGGAGCUUGCUCUUGUUCGGUCAGCGGCGGACGGGUGAGUAACACGUGGGCAACCUGCCCGCAAGACCGGGAUAACUCCGGGAAACCGGAGCUAAUACCGGAUAACACCGAAGACCGCAUGGUCUUUGGUUGAAAGGCGGCGCAAGCUGCCACUUGCGGAUGGGCCCGCGGCGCAUUAGCUAGUUGGUGAGGUAACGGCUCACCAAGGCGACGAUGCGUAGCCGGCCUGAGAGGGUGACCGGCCAAACUGGGACUGAGACAAGGCCCAGACUCCUACGGGAGGCAGCAGUAGGGAAUCUUCCGCAAGGGGCGAAAGCCUGACGGAGCGACGCCGCGUGAGCGAAGAAGGCCGUCGGGUCGUAAAGCUCUGUUGUGAGGGACGAAGGAGCGCCGUUUGAAGAAGGCGGCGCGGUGACGGUACCUCACGAGGAAGCCCCGGCUAACUACGUG